rnacentral:rRNA from 1 species
CACGCCCUAAACGAUGAUAACUUAGUGUUGGGAGUAAUCCCAGUGCUGAAGCUAACGCGAUAAGUUAUCCACCUGAGAAGUACGGUCGCAAGAUUAAAACUCAAAGGAAUAGACGGGGACCCACACAAGCAGUGGAUCACGUGGUUUAAUUCGACAAUAAACGGGGAACCUUACCCAGACUUGACAUCUAUAGAAUCCUGCGGAAACGUGGGAGUGCCCGUAAGGGAGCUAUAAGACAGGUGC